AAUAUGGCUAUCCAUCUGGAAGUGUCACGGUCUAUGCAAUAAAUCUUGACACCAAAGCAGCGUCCGUCACCUUUCCAAAAUCCUUAAACAGUCGCAUGGAGUUGUUUUGGCUGUCCGCAGUCGGUGACGACCCCCGAGCAAAGAAUGUACUUCUGAACCGCGUACAAUCUCUAUAUAUGGUGAACAACAAGAUCCCUGUCUUCCGACCUCGAUCCAAGACAGGAGGACCACUCCUCCUGCCCCCGCGGACAUACGGCUUUGUUGUCUUCCCUGAUGCUGAUGUCGCUGUCUGUCACUGAUGAGUGACCGUAAAUAAAACAUCUCUUGCAUGACA